AUACAGGGUGUGUUUGGAGCGCCCAGUCAUCAGAAGCAGAGCUGUGGGACGUGUAGACAGACAUUCACUGUAAUGAUGGACUUCUGCUGACGGACGGAAAGUCCAUCACACCUGCCUGGAAGUUUCUAGUAACCCUGAAGACCUUGAUGAUCUGCUUCAGGUGUUUUUCAUCAGGUUGGAGCUAAACUCAGGACAGUGGCUCAUCCGGAGCAGAUUAGACACAAUUUUACUCUCUGUGCACCUGCUGCUAUUUUAAAUGUUAAUGCAGAAACACUUAUUAUUGUCCACAAGAGGGAGAAGCUGACGCACUGAUCACUCACUCAUGUGCCUGACUGUUAUAUUCACCAGGAAAUACAAAUCACAAGUUUUAGUUGUUAUAGCAGUGAUUAGUUAAUAGAUUACAUAUGCAUGUCAACUGUUAUUUUGAUACAGGCUUUUAUCAAGUAUAUUAAUCAAAUAACCAAUAAAUGCACGAAGAGUGAUCAAUCCCUCCGACCAGCCAGUCGUGGCCAGCCACGGUUUAACCUGUGUUUAAAAAAGUGACAUUUGUCUUUCUAUAUCUGUGUAGAUCAGUUAGGCUGACUUUACAACCCCCUAACAUAUAUAUUCCCCUGCUCAUUGUCGCCCUCCUCCAUCCAUAUAAGAAGCCAGAGCUUCAGAUAGAGACUCAGAGCAGGAGUGCAUUGAGAACCGCUCAGUGUCAGACUCUCCUCAAGGAGGAGCCGGUGAAUCAUUUGAUCUCCUGCUGUGAUAACCAGUUACAAGAUUCAACAGGAGACACCUUUAAAAACAUUAACAUUAUGUUAUGAUAAUAUAUGUCAGUUAACAGUCAUUUUGAUGCACAUUAAUUUACAUAAACAAAAACAAAUUCACAUCUACUUUGCCCAACUAAAAGAGCUUUGGAAGAUCUUUAGUCCUGUAUUUUCUCUGUGUUUUCCUUUGAGCGUGUGCUUUUGAGCUCAACACAACAGUUUUACCACAUCAGUUGAGAGCUGAUCUGGUUCUUCUUCUAAAACUCAUAGACCCGUGUUUCUCUGCUGGUCGAAGCCCU